rnacentral:rRNA from 1 species
GACGAACGCUGGCGGCGUGCUUAACACAUGCAAGUCGAACGGAAAGGCCCUGCUUUUGUGGGGUGCUCGAGUGGCGAACGGGUGAGUAACACGUGAGUAACCUGCCCUUGACUUUGGGAUAACUUCAGGAAACUGGGGCUAAUACCGGAUAGGAGCUCCUGCUGCAUGGUGGGGGUUGGAAAGUUUCGGCGGUUGGGGAUGGACUCGCGGCUUAUCAGCUUGUUGGUGGGGUAGUGGCUUACCAAGGCGUUGACGGGUAGCCGGCCUGAGAGGGUGACCGGCCACAUUGGGAAUGAGAUACGGCCCAGACUCCUACGGGAGGCAGUAGGGGGGAAUAUUGCACAAUGGGCGGGAGCCUGAUGCAGCAACGCCGCGUGCGGGAUGACGGCCUUCGGGUUGUAAACCGCUUUCGCCUGUGACGAAGCGUGAGUGACGGUAAUGGGUAAAGAAGCACCGGCUAACUACGUG